AGCUGUCGGAGCACACAAGGAUGGACACGAACGAGACGGCGGCGGAUUUCAUGAAGAUGACAACCGAUAGGAGUUUUUCUCUCAAUCGUGUGCUUCAGUUUCUUUCUUUAAUCAGAAGGGCAAGAAAUUUCAAAUGUGAAAUUAA